rnacentral:rRNA from 1 species
GUGUCAGCAGCCGCGGUAAUACGUAGGGUGCGAGCGUUAAUCGGAAUUACUGGGCGUAAAGCGUGCGCAGGCGGUUUUGUAAGUCAGAUGUGAAAGCCCCGGGCUUAACCUGGGAAUGGCGUUUGAAACUACAAGGCUAGAGUGUGUCAGAGGGGGGUAGAAUUCCACGUGUAGCAGUGAAAUGCGUAGAGAUGUGGAGGAAUACCGAUGGCGAAGGCAGCCCCCUGGGAUAACACUGACGCUCAUGCACGAAAGCGUGGGGAGCAAACAGGAUUAGAUACCCUCGUAGUCC